UUAAGUGAAUAAGGGCGCACGGUGGAUGCCUUGGCACUAGGAGCCGAUGAAGGACGGGACUAACACCGAUAUGCUUUGGGGAGCUGUACGUAAGCUAUGAUCCAGAGAUUUCCGAAUGGGGGAACCCAGCAUCUUUAAUAGGAUGUUACGAUUGUGUGAAUACAUAGCACAUUCGAGGUAGACGCAGAGAACUGAAACAUCUAAGUACCUGCAGGAAGAGAAAGAAAAUUCGAAUCCCUGAGUAGCGGCGAGCGAAACGGGAAAAGCCCAAACCAGCAAGCUUGCUUGUUGGGGUUGUAGGACUCCAAUAUGGUAGUUCUUUCAGAUAGUCGAAUGACUUGGAAAAGUCAGUCAAAGAGGGUAAAAACCCCGUAGACGAAAUGUGGAAGACACCUAGGAGGAUCCUGAGUACGGCGGAACACGAGAAAUUCCGUCGGAAUCCGGGAGGACCAUCUCCCAAGGCUAAAUACUCCCUAGUGACCGAUAGUGAACCAGUACCGUGAGGGAAAGGUGAAAAGCACCCCGGAAGGGGAGUGAAAUAGAACCUGAAACCGUGUGCCUACAACAAGUCAAAGCCCGUUAAUGGGUGAUGGCGUGCCUUUUGUAGAAUGAACCGGCGAGUUACGAUUGCAUGCGAGGUUAAGUUGAAGAGACGGAGCCGCAGCGAAAGCGAGUCUGAAUAGGGCGUUUGAGUAUGUAGUCGUAGACCCGAAACCAUGUGAUCUACCCAUGUCCAGGUUGAAGGUGCGGUAAAACGCACUGGAGGACCGAACCCACGUACGUUGAAAAGUGCGGGGAUGAGGUGUGGGUAGCGGAGAAAUUCCAAACGAACUUGGAGAUAGCUGGUUCUCUCCGAAAUAGCUUUAGGGCUAGCCUCGGAAUUGAGAAUGAUGGAGGUAGAGCACUGUUUGGACUAGGGGCCCAUCUCGGGUUACCGAAUUCAGAUAAACUCCGAAUGCCAUUCAUUCAUAUCCGGGAGUCAGACUGUGAGUGAUAAGAUCCAUAGUCGAAAGGGAAACAGCCCAGACCACCAGCUAAGGUCCCAAAAUAUAUGUUAAGUGGAAAAGGAUGUGGGGUUGCACAGACAACUAGGAUGUUGGCUUAGAAGCAGCCAUCAUUUAAAGAGUGCGUAAUAGCUCACUAGUCGAGUGACCCUGCGCCGAAAAUGUACCGGGGCUAAACAUAUUACCGAAGCUGUGGAGUACACCUUUAGGUGUAUUGGUAGGAGAGCGUUCUAAGGGCGUCGAAGGCAGAUCGUGAGGACUGCUGGAGCGCUUAGAAGUGAGAAUGCCGGUAUGAGUAGCGAAAGACAGGUGAGAAUCCUGUCCACCGAAUGACUAAGGUUUCCUGGGGAAGGCUCGUCCGCCCAGGGUUAGUCGGGACCUAAGCCGAGGCCGACAGGCGUAGGCGAUGGAUAACAGGUUGAUAUUCCUGUACCCGUUGUUUUUGUUUGAGCAAUGGAGGGACGCAGGAGGCUAAGGAAUGCAGACGAUCGGAAAUGUCUGUCCAAGCAGUAAGUCUGAAGAGGAGUUAAAUGCUUCUUUUCUUAAGGACAAGCUGUGAUGGGGAGGGAAAUAAUAGUACCGAAGUUCCUGAUGUCACACUGCCGAGAAAAGCUUCUAGUGAGAAAACAGCGGCCCGUACCGCAAACCGACACAGGUAGUCGAGGAGAGAAUCCUAAGGUGAGCGAGAGAACUCUCGUUAAGGAACUCGGCAAAAUGACCCCGUAACUUCGGGAGAAGGGGUGCUGAUCAUACGAUCAGCCGCAGUGAAUAGGCCCAAGCGACUGUUUAUCAAAAACACAGGUCUCUGCAAAAUCGUAAGAUGAAGUAUAGGGGCUGACGCCUGCCCGGUGCUGGAAGGUUAAGAGGAGUGCUUAGCGCAAGCGAAGGUACGAAUUGAAGCCCCAGUAAACGGCGGCCGUAACUAUAACGGUCCUAAGGUAGCGAAAUUCCUUGUCGGGUAAGUUCCGACCCGCACGAAAGGCGUAACGAUUUGGGCACUGUCUCAACGAGAGACUCGGUGAAAUUUUAGUACCUGUGAAGAUGCAGGUUACCCGCGACAGGACGGAAAGACCCCAUGGAGCUUUACUGUAGUUUGAUAUUGAGUGUCUGUACCGCAUGUACAGGAUAGGUAGGAGCCGUAGAAAUCGGAACGCUAGUUUCGAUGGAGGCGCUGGUGGGAUACUACCCCUGCGUUAUGGCCACUCUAACCCGCACCACUAAUCGUGGUGGGAGACAGUGUCAGAUAGGCACCCAAAGGUUCCCUCAGAAUGGUUGGAAAUCAUUCGAAGAGUGUAAAGGCAGAAGGGAGCUUG
rnacentral:rRNA from 1 species